rnacentral:lncRNA from 1 species
CAGUUCAAAAGAACAGAAAGAUAAAUGGUUCUAUUUUCUCAAAAGAUCCAUUGAUGAAGCCAAGAGGAUAUCAAGAAAAAUUUCUCAUUGGAGAUAUUCACGGAAGACAUCCCAAGCUGUGACAGUGUAUGUGAAUACAAAACCAAAACUGAUAUUUCAAGUUCAUGACUAGCAGAGAUAAAGGAGUUUGUAGAGUAAUGGAAGAUGGAGACAUAAGAAAUGGGUGUUGGGCAGAGUUAGUAAGGAUUUGCAUAUGUGCAAAU